GAUGAACGCUGGCGGCGUGCCUAAUACAUGCAAGUCGAGCGAACAGACGAGGAGCUUGCUCCUCUGACGUUAGCGGCGGACGGGUGAGUAACACGUGGAUAACCUACCUAUAAGACUGGGAUAACUUCGGGAAACCGGAGCUAAUACCGGAUAAUAUAUUGAACCGCAUGGUGCAGUAGUGAAAGACGGUUUUGCUGUCACUUAUAGAUGGAUCCGCGCCGCAUUAGCUAGUUGGUAAGGUAACGGCUUACCAAGGCAACGAUGCGUAGCCGACCUGAGAGGGUGAUCGGCCACACUGGAACUGAGACACGGUCCAGACUCCUACGGGAGGCAGCAGUAGGGAAUCUUCCGCAAUGGGCGAAAGCCUGACGGAGCAACGCCGCGUGAGUGAUGAAGGUCUUCGGAUCGUAAAACUCUGUUAUUAGGGAAGAACAAAUGUGUAAGUAACUAUGCACGUCGUGACGGUACCUAAUCAGAAAGCCACGGCUAACUACGUG
rnacentral:rRNA from 1 species